rnacentral:pre_miRNA from 1 species
UAAUUACUCCCUCCAUCCGAAAAAGCUUGUCCCAAGCUUGUUCCUUAAAUGGAUGUAUCUAGCACUAAUUUGAUGCUAGAUACGUCCAUUUGAGAGACAAGCUUUUCCGGAUGGAGGGAGUACUAA